GUAAGUUUAAAGACCAAGUAGGAUGAAACUGCGGACGGCUCAUUAUAACAGUAAUAGUUUCUUUGGUUAGUACGUACAAGGAUAACUUUGUGAAUGAUAAAGCUAAUACUUGAUACGAUCCGGGGAGUAUUAAUACUUCACGGCCAUUGACCGUAAGGUUGAUGAGAAACGACGCUUUUCUGUGAGGAAGGGCGCCGCGACUAUUGAAGAAAGCUACGCUUUUUACAAGUAACCAAUGAGAAUUUCUGAUCUAUCAAUUUGUUGGUAGUAUCGAGGACUACCAAGAUUAUAACGGAUAACGAGGAAUUGGGGUUCGACAUCGGAGAGGGAGCUUUACAGAUGGCUACCACUUCUAAGGAAGGCAGCAGGCGCGUAAAUUACCCACUUUCGACAUGAAGAGGUAGUGACGACAAUUAACUCAGGAGAUGCCGUAUGGUAUUUCCCGAAGGAAUGAUUAAGAAUUAAAUUCUCUUAAGAAAUCAAUUGGAGGGCAAGUCUGGUGCCAGCAGCCGCGGUAAUUCCA
rnacentral:rRNA from 1 species